rnacentral:lncRNA from 1 species
UGUGUCUAUGGCUUGCAGGGCAGCAAGAGUUGUUCUGGAGAUGACUUUCCAGCAAUUUCUACCACGGAGCUGUGCAUAGGACUGCAGGCUGAGGCUCCCCAUUGCCCUGGGCAGCUUUCUGCCCUUCCCUGCAUGCAGGACUUGGCACCCUUGCAAGACUUGUUCCUCAGGCUGGUGUGCUGUGCGUGCUGCCAGCCCUGCGCCUGACUUCUUCCUAAUGACCUGGCUCAUGUUGGAACUCUCUUUAAGAGGAAAAAAAUGCUGUACAUCUUUCAGAAGAAUCUCAGAAGUGAUCUUUGCGCAUGUCAGCGGUUUGAAAGCAAGCAAAAGUCAUACAUAUUCUAGAACUUUCAGAAGAAAGAAGAGCUUUCUAUAUGAAAGAGACAGCACAGGGGCACGCAGAUGAACGUGCACAGCUUGUAAAGAAAAAGCACAAACUCCUCUCAGCAAUUUCUGAAGAGCAAGGAAGUUAACAAAAAAGAGAAAAUUGAUAGAAACAGACUGUCUUACUCAUACAAAUGCUGAAUACCAGCAAUUAAAGCAUUUACAAGAUGGCAUUCCUUGUUAAUACUUAUUCACAGACAGACUAUUCUUCCCCGUUCCCACAUAAUGUGCUUAUUGCUCGUGAUCCGGGAAGUUUGAAGUACUGCUUCUCCUGCAAAGGGUCACUUCUUUGAGUGAUUGGUAGUGAAUAC